rnacentral:rRNA from 1 species
UCCUGGCUCAGAUUGAACGCUGGCGGCAUGCCUUACACAUGCAAGUCGAACGGUAACAGGUCUUCGGAUGCUGACGAGUGGCGAACGGGUGAGUAAUACAUCGGAACGUGCCCAGACGUGGGGGAUAACGAGGCGAAAGCUUUGCUAAUACCGCAUACGAUCUAAGGAUGAAAGCAGGGGGCCGCAAGGCCUUGUGCGUUUGGAGCGGCCGAUGGCAGAUUAGGUAGUUGGUGGGAUAAAAGCUUACCAAGCCGACGAUCUGUAGCUGGUCUGAGAGGACGACCAGCCACACUGGGACUGAGACACGGCCCAGACUCCUACGGGAGGCAGCAGUGGGGAAUUUUGGACAAUGGGCGAAAGCCUGAUCCAGCAAUGCCGCGUGCAGGAUGAAGGCCUUCGGGUUGUAAACUGCUUUUGUACGGAACGAAAAGGCUCUGGCUAAUACCUGGAGCAUAUGACGGUACCGUAAGAAUAAGCACCGGCUAACUACGUG